rfam:Felis catus isolate Cinnamon breed Abyssinian chromosome D1, whole genome shotgun sequence.
GUAUAGUGUUACCAUCAGCAACACGCCCUGAUUUCAUUUCCUGGUCAAUAGCCAUUUAUAUGGAUCCUAGAUUCUGGAAAUCAAAUGACUUUGAAGUGGUCCUUGUCCUUUCCCACAUUCCCAUUCUGAAUAUAGCUAUGAAGACUCUGAAAGUAUUGCAACCAACAAGUAAAUUAAUCAAUU